AACUUAUCUCGAGUGACUGAGGGAUCAGGCCCUAUGACGUCCGGCAACCUCCAAAUUUGGAACGGUGCCACUUCCUGCAGAAUGUUCUGUUAUUCUGAAAGAUAAGUC
rnacentral:ncRNA from 2 species